AACGUAGGAGCCUAGCGUUAUCCGAAUUUACUGGGCGUAAAGCGCAUGUAGGCGGCUGGGUAAGUUGGCUGUGAAAUCUCCCGGCUCAACUGGGAGAGGCCGGUCAAGACUGCCUGGCUGGAGGCUGGUAGAGGGAGGUGGAAUUCCCGGUGUAGUGGUGAAAUGCGUAGAUAUCGGGAGGAACACCAGUGGCGAAAGCGGCCUCCUGGACCAGACCUGACGCUCAGAUGCGAAAGCUAGGGGAGUGAACGGGAUUAGAAACCCCGGUAAUCCUAGCCGUAAACGAUGUCGACUUGGCGUCGGUGGGGUAAAAGCCAGCGGUGCCGGAGCUAACGCAGUAAGUCGACCGCCUGGGGACUACGGCCGCAAGGUUAAA
rnacentral:rRNA from 1 species